UCCAUUUUUUCUUUCUCUUUUUUAAAAAUCGGGUUAAAGACAGCAGAGUUUGAUACUGAGGCUAGAUGAAAAAUGUCCUUUUUAUUUUUUAAAGUUUGAGACUCCUAAAUGGCAGAUUAGACUUAUAAGCAAAUACAAACAUGUAUCUAGAUUUGUCAUUUGUGAUUAUAGGACUUACAUCAGAGCCUCUGUCUCCUACACUCUUAUAAACAGUAUUAUUAUGGUAUAAUUUAUCAAAAAAUGAACAUAUUUAAUAUGUAGAGUUUGGACAUAUGCAGACUUUUGGGAUACCAUCACCACAAUGAAGGUAAUAGACAUUUCUAGCAUCUCCCAAAGUUUCUUUGUGUCCCUUUGUUUUGUUGUUGUUGUAUUGUGAUAAAAAUGCUUAAAAUGAGUUCUCUUAACAAAAUUUGAAGUGCAUAAAUCUGUGCUAUUAAUUAUAGGCACUAUGUUGUACAGAUCUCUAGAACUUAUUCAUCUACCCUAACUGAAACUUUAUAAGCAUUGAACAACUUUCUAUUUCCCCCACCCCUCAGCCCCUGACAACCACUAUUGUAUCUUCUGCUUCUAUGAGUUUCACUAUUAUAUUUUCCUACAUGUUUUGAAUUAUAUUCAGCCGGUACAAUACAGGAAGUUGUAUCUUCUUUGGCCAAUUCUUAUGCUGAUACAAAUCACAGAGUAUACAUUUCAUGGGCACAACACAUGUAAAAGAUCAAAUAGUUGAUAGUUUUGCUUUUUAAUAAUUCCUAAUGUUCAGCACUUCUAAUUAUGAUUAACCUGCAAGAUCUUAUUACUUAAAUUAUAUGUCAUAUUUACUAUAUCUAGUAUAUUCUGGAAGUUUUUGCAUUUGGAAUGUGAUUUUCUUUGUGUUUGGUUGGUCCUAUAAAAUAUUAUAUUUUCUGAUUAAGUUUGCUUCAGUGACUGCAUCCCUGGUGGCAAUUGAAAGAGAAGCAGCAAAUUUUUCAGAUUGAAGAUGUUCAAAAUGCCUGAUGAGUGAAAACAGAGUCAUUGAUACGUACGCAUCUCACGAAAACUGAAGAAUAUCAAAGAGAAAAAUAAAAUUUUACAAGUAAA